UCACUUCAGGACAGCCAGGCAGCCACGGCAGCACAGCUGAAGACACCAAAGACACUCACGAGGACGGACCUCCAGAACCGCUUCAGAAAGUGGCAAGAACUAUGGGCAGGCCUUUCGGAAGAGUUCAAGAUUUGGCUAGCCUGGGAUGAAGUUCAUGACAUGUUAGUUGAGAAGAGGUAACCUGUGAUCAUCCAGUGCUGUCUGUGAAUCCAUUCCUAGCAUCUGAGUUGGUGGAGCACUUCUGGACAUCCGGUGAAAACUGACCCAGCUGCCUCUCUGGUCUUCCGCCUGGGUGUGGGGCAUCACACCUGUAUGGGACUCACCUGGCCAGGAGGCAAAUUCCUAGAAGAAUCAACGUUCUCCUCACCUUCAUGUCCCCAAGCAGGGCCUGGCCAGAAUAGAUGUGCACCUCCACUUGCUCAAUGAAUGAUGAUUCUACAUUGAACCCUUACUUUUCUGAGAAGAUGCUUAGAUGAGGAAAUCAUGUCCUGAGUCAAAUUUAAUGUCUAGAUUCAGUGUUGACCGAAUGGGGGAAUUUGAUUCAGCUGUCAUCCAGUUUGCACUGCAACUGGAAUCGUGGGGAGAAUUGAGUCUGUGAACCAAGCUACCACUGUAUUUCACAUCUACAACACAUAGGAGUUUCAUGAAAUCUAGUGGGAACUGGGAAUUUCCACUUGAGAAAACAUAGGAAAGACUUAGAUAAGAGAAUUGAAAACAUAAACUCUGGCAGGAACAAAGGUAUUUUUUUCUUUCUCCUUUACUAAAUUAGUACCACUUGGUUCAAGGACAAUAGAUCAUUUUUGCUAAGCUUAAAAUUUAUUAGAUUCUUUCUUCUUUUGUCAAACUUUAGAUGCAUGAUUUAAACAUAUUUCAUGGGGAAAACUGCACUGUUCUCUUCAUGUUGCUAUUUAUCCACGGAAAGCAAGGUGCUUUGCAAACACCCAUGGUACUUCACAAGAUUCCUGUUAAAUGAGUCAAUCCACUUUCCAUACUUUAGGGGGCAGAAAAUCUGAAACACAAGUGAAAAAAAUUUUUGUGCACAUAAGGCAUGCAUAACUGUGCUGAUACUAGAACAUAAAAUAUUUCACACCACCCUUCAGGGUUGAGCGCCUGAGCUCUGUUUCCCCAUCUGCACGCCCAAGCAGUCAUUUCAGUUACAUAAUUGUGGGUUAAGCCCUGCUUUAUGCAUCGAUCUGUAAUACACAUUGCAAAAGAUGCAGCGAUCCUCUAUGGUGCUCAGGCUUUAUGACCCACAUAUUGAAGAGCCUAGAGCAGAUUAGGAGAUAAAAACAAAUUCAAGAGCUAGCACAAAGCACUGUGAGAAGAACAGUGUGACUUAGUUGCAGCUAAAUGCUGGAUAAGUGAAUAGGGUAGAGCAGUUCUACGAGCUACACAAACCAGGAAGAAGGCAAAAGCAAGGAGGCCGAGGUGUCAGGGUUCGGAAGAUGAGGGUGGAUGGUAGUCAGCACAGUCCGUGCAGGAGAACGAGGCUAAAUGACGAGGUGGUACAUGGCUGAGGAGUGCGCGGAGGGCGGAAUUAACGAGCAAGUAGGGGAUGAAGCUUCGAGGAUGUAAGAAAAAUGAGGGGAGAGGACGGAAAGCUGAUUUGGAAACUAAGGCUUUUCCUGAUAGGUGACUUCAGUGGCAGAGAUAUCAGGGAAAGGGAAUAACAUUUGAAAAACUUUUUUAAAGUGAGUGAACCCUAGCCCUAACCCUAACCCUAA